AUCACCUAUAUGAUUUGACAGUCUUCUUUGUUCUGGGACCUCUCCACAGUAGGCAUUGUGAUAUAUCACUUGGCCUAGCAGAGAGCAUUGUGACAUACCCGCGAGCCAAGCACACAGAUGAUGUUAUUCUGCUGCCUGUGCCCUGCUUUCAGGAGUGGAUUGCAAUGUAACACUGGCUGAGUACCCAGGUUAAUGACACUGUUGCCUGGUCCCUGUUCUCAGGGAAGACUGUAAUAGACCCCUGACCCAAUAUCCAGGGGACAUUGUGACAUACUUCUUGGCCAUGAACCCAGGUUAUGUGAGCCUUUCUGUGCCCUGCCCAUGUGGACAAUUGUGACAUAUUACCGAGUCCUACACCCAGGCGAUGCUACUCUCCUGUCUGGUCCUUGCCUACAGGGAACAUUGUGACAUAUCUCUUUGCCAUUCAUCCAGGUUCUGCCCACAGGGAAGAUUGUGGUGAAUUACUGAACGCGAUACCUAGAUGAAGGAGAGACUAUAACAUACCUCUUGGCCCAGCACCUAGUUGAUGUAACUCUGCUCUCCUGCCUGGGCCACACCUACAGAAGAAAGAGUGACUUCUCACUGGGCCAGCACACAGGUCAUGUUAUUUUACUGCCUUGAUCCUUGUCCACAAUAAUCAUUGUACAUAGUUUUGGGCUCUUCUACUAGAAGACGUGAGUCUCCUCUUCUUCCUGGGAUCUGUCCACAGGGGGGAUUGUGACAUAUCAUUUGACCCAGCACCUAUAUGAUGUGACCAUCAUCUGAUGCCUUGGCCCUUCUCACUGGGCUGAUUGUGACAUAUAACUGGGCACAGCUUCUAGGUUAUGUGACUCUUCUCUUCCUCCUGGGUCCUACCCAUAGGAGGCAUUGUGACAUAUCUCUAAGCACUUAAACUAGGAAAUAUGACACUUUUUUCUGGGCUCUCCCCUAAGAGAGUACUGUGACGUAUUUCUGGACCCAGCACCUAGGUGAUGUUACACUUCUCUCCUACCUGUUACCUGUUACUGGCAGCAAAUCCAUAUGGGCAUGGAUCUGCAGCAACCUUAAUUCUUACCUCCUAAGAAGAAAAAACUCAACUUAGAGGCAUAAGGCAGAAGGAGAGACUGAGGAAAGUUUUAGAACAGGAGUGACAACUGUAGAACAGAAACAAAAUGAAGGAAAGUACACUUGGAAGAGGGCCAAGUGGGUGACUAAAAAGGGAAGUGCACGGUUUGACAUUUGACCUGGGGUUUUCUAUGUUGGCAUACUUCUGGGGUCUCACAUUAAUUCUCCCCAUUGCCUAACUCCUGAGAUCUUAUUGGGAAGUUGCUGAUUACCAGUUUUAGGUAAUCCACUAAUUGUCUGCUUGAGAGGAGAAGAGAUGCUGAAGUUAACAGUGGGUCCCUCUUCAUCCUUGGGGUUCUGGAAUGAAUCAGUCUUACCAUGUACCCCUAACUUUUCAUGCCCUUAUCAAGAAGCAAUGUUUAUUUGAAUCAGGUGGGCAAAGUGUUUCAAAAGUCACUGGAAAACUCAGUUCUGGGACAUAAUAGGAAUAAAAAGUAUACAGUAAGUCAUAAGAAACUGACAGAGCCAGAGUUCAAAUUGGUGCCUGUCCUGACAAUGUGCCAGCAGACACGGAAGGGUUGGAGGUCAUCUGAGCAGGUAGGGUAAGAACAAGUAUAAAUCUCAGGGGAUAUCCACAAGGGAGCCAGUGUCUUUGCUGCCAUGCAAAUGCAGUAAAAGCCAUGGAUGCUUAAAUAACAGGGAGUUUGUGUUUAAGAAGUCACAUGGCACGUGAAGUGAAAGCAAAGAGGCAGAUGUGCCCCGGAAGCAGAUAGUCCAGCAGGUGAGUAAGGCCAUUUCUGAACACACACAGGGAACACAGGAGAAUAGACAGUGCAGGUUUUGGGGAAAGAGACAAUUUUAGUAGGAACCCUAAGACAUUUCAUGGUGUUCAGCUUUAGCCCUAUUACUCUUGAGAGUCUCCUGUCCAGGAGGGCCAUAAGUGCAUCAGUUCUACUCAGCAUGGACCCCAAGGUUCUUCCCACCCCUGCAAACCAUCUGUCAGGGUGAGCAGAGAGAUAGCCCAUGGAAACAGAGCCACUUGUGGCUGAGAGGAAUCAUUCUGGGAGCUGGUUAGUAAGCCAUAGAGUGAAAGGGAAAAGAAAAUCAUAUAGAGGGGUUAGCUGCCUCUAGCCAAUGAAGGUGAGGCAUAAAGGUCUUUCACCACUAGGGGACAUAUCUGAGUCAUGCACACCAAAGCAUGUUAGCAGCAAAAGGUACCAAGUCACACAGCACCAAAACAUGUUACCAGCAGUGAAUCCGCAUGGGUACGGGUCUGUAGCAACCUCAUUUCUUGCCUCUUCAGAAGAAAAAAUUGACUGAGGGGCUUAAGGCAGAAAGAGAGACUGGGGGAAGUUUUAGAGCAGGAGUGAAAGUUUAUUAAAAAGCUUUAGAACAGGAACAAAAGGAAGGAAAGUACACUUGGAAGAGGGCCAAGCAGGUGACUUCAAAGGCAAGUGAGCGGUUUGACUUUUUGACUUUGGGUUUUAUAUGUUGGCAUACUUUUGGGGUCUUGUGUUACUUUUCCCACCUCACCCAACUCCUGAGAUCUUAUUGGGAAGCUGCUGAUCACCAGUUUCACGUGCUUUCUAUUUAGGAGACUGUCUUUCCCUGGUGCCGGUUGUCACCAAUUAUUACUUUAGAGAGACAGUUAACAACUGCCUGACCAUCACCUAAUGGCUGACUGACACUCCUGGUGUGUGUGUUGAGGGCGGAGUCCUCUCUUGCCCUGCUCAUACCUCACUGGCUACCUACUUUAACACUGCAAGCAUUGUGUAAUGUUGGUAAAGGAGUUAGAAAGAAAUUAUUUAGGCAGAUAGUGAGGGUAAAAGAGUCCUCACCAGAAUUUUUCUUCUAACAAAAAGCAGCCCAAGAAAUUUUCUUUUUCAAUCAUCAGCCUGAAAAAUUGAGCUGCAAAAACAGAUAAGCAACCUGGAAGUUUUUAUGGGGGAAUGCCAGCAGUUGUGUUAAUAGAAAAGGGCAACCUGGGGGCUGGGCAUAUCCAAAAUGGGGGCUCCAUCUUUCCUUCUUUGUGACCAUGUAUACGGUAAAGAAAUCGGCAACAUGGUACCCACCAGGCAAAGAACCCAUAUGCAUAAUAAAGAAUUAGGGUGUGGUGGCCAGCUUUUUGUUCUCUAUGCAAAUGGCACACCUGGUCCAACCAAUCUUUUGCACCCUAUGUAAAUCGGACACCACCUCCUCAAGCUUAUCUAUAAAACCUCCUGCAUUUCACCAUGGAACCAGUAACCAAUCUCUGUGGGACUCCUCUCUACUGCAGAGAGCUCUUCUCUUUCUUUGCCUAUUAAACUUCCACUCUUGACCUCAGUCUUGUGUGUCUGCAUCCUUGAUUUUCUUGGUGUAAGACAAGAAACUCUGGGUAUCACACCAGACAAUAAAGCUGCUUCAUUGUGACUCUCCUGCAUGGAUAUAUAUAUAUACACACACGG
rnacentral:lncRNA from 1 species